AUAUGUAAAAUUAGAGAUGCAAUCGGGUCUCAAAAAUAUCACAGGACUGAGAAGAAAUCACAAACAGUGAAGUGAGAGGUUACAAAAACAUUAAACAUUAAAAAUAAAAAGGCACCAAAGGAUACCUCUCAUCUAAGGAAGUAUUAAUUAAGCAGAUUCACUACUUUCACUUUCAUUGUCACUUUCAGAAUCGGAAACAUUAGCAGCGUUAUUUGACUCGGGAGAAGUGGGAGACGUUUUGCCAGCAAAACGAUCUAAUUGUUGUUGCAAACGUCUGAUUUUUUCAGCUUGCUCCGUUUCAGAAAGUACGCGGCCCUUUUUCUUCUCUGGCUUAGUUGGCAUAAGGACGGGUGAAGCAGGUUCAGAGGAAUCGGCGUCGGGUUUGCAAACAUAGCGGUAUAUACGAUGGAAUACUUCUGGUUUCAUAUUGCCGACAUCAAUUUCAAUUUCAUCAGUAUCACGAAGCCAAGGCAUCUCUUCACGUAAAAUUUCAGCGACAUUUGAAAGUUGUUCAGCACUGAGGUAAUUACAGCGCUCGGCAAGCUCAUUUUGCAUAGCAUAGGUAAUAGGACCAUAUUCCUUGGUGAGAUCACGGCGACGAGGUUUCCUCAUACGGUUCAUCUUUUUUGCCUUCAUUGCCUCCAAUGUGUCCUGUAGCAUAGAUAUCUGCUUAUCCACAGCAGCAAACUUGGCUCCAUUGAUUUCUUCCUCGGACAUCAAAGCCUCCUCUUCCUCACCAUUAUCGAAUAAAGCAU